AAGAAAAAAACCAUAAGAAACUUAUGUUGACCAUGUAAAUUAAACCCAAAAAGUCAACUUCAAUCAUUUCCGCCUUGAUAUAGUUUUGAAUAUUAGGUAAUUACUUCUCAUCAACAUUUUAAAACAGAGGAGGUAGAGAGGAAUCAUAACUCAAACUUAAAACAUAAUUCUUUGUUAGCUUUUUGUGUAUGUUUCAUAAAUCAUCGUUUUUAUGUUUGUUUGUAUUUUGAUUAACUGAUUUUUUGAUCCUAACUUGAGAUUAUUUUCUUAAUUUUAGAUUUUCUUAGUUUAUUACUUUGUUUGAGGUUAAAGAUAAUGCUUUUGUUACUCUUUCGAUUUUGUUUUAUGGUUUUAUUUACUGCUUCAAUCAUGCUAGUUUUAUCUUCUUUUUUGUAUUUGUUUUUCUAUGUUGUUUCGGGGAGAUAAUCAUGAUUCUUCUCUUGCUUUCCUGUCAAUAUUAUUUAAAAUAUGAGAAAAAUACUCUGUUUUUUCCAAGGAAGUUCAUUGACAUCAUUACUUUUGAUGUUUUAGUUAGUUAUUUAUUACCUUGGAUGUUAAUUAACUAACACAAUUGCUUAAUGUCUGUCCUAGGAUCCUUGUGUUGUUCUUGUUGGACUACUGGUAGUUUUGUCUACAUUUCAACAUAACCAUGAGGCAAGGUAUUAUGAGGUAUGGAUUUUCUCACGGUCUUUUAGUCUCUCUGUUGCCUAGUGUGUUUUUGUGAUGCAUGCCAAACUAAUUAUAUUUUAACUCACACUAAGCAUCAAAACCAUUCUUGGAACCAAGUUCGUGCUGAAGUCCCGAAUCCGAACUCACUAGAUUCUGUUCUUCAACCUUCUAAAAGUCAAUCCUAAGUUUUUUCAGCAUACUUUUGAUUCCACUAUGUCACAAAACAACAAUAAGUAUUAGUAUUAGGAUAAGAUAUUCUUCCGAUUAUGAUAAAAGACAUGGGAUUUGUUUAGUUUCCAUUGAACUUAUCUUUUCUUAUUCUUUAGUUUGAGCUUUCUCUAUAUAAGCAUGAAUUACCAUCGAAACAUGUUCAAUAAGAAAAAGCAGAGCAAUUCAUUACUUUAGGAAUUAGCAAGAAAUAAGUUUCAUUACGUUGAAUUUAUGGACAUGUGACUUCUUGAAUGUGAUUGAUAUACUUUUGUGCUUGCAAAUAUGAGAACUCUAUUUUGUAGCGUAAAAUCUUAAAGCGUAUCACUAGAGACCCAUACAAAAUACUUUCUUAACGAGACAACUCUUCGUAUUUGUUUGUUUUUAGGUUGAUUAUCGCUGCCAUCUUUGUCAUGGUAUGCGGCUACGAGGCGACGGUUCUUUCGCUUAAGAGGAUGAUUCUGCCGAGCCAUGAACUCGACCUCACUCAGCUUAUGGCAUUUGAUUCUGCUCGGCAUGGAAGGUUGUUACAGUCUCCUGUACACGGAUCUUUCAACUUUCCGGUUGAAAGAGACAUAGUUUAGUUGAUUUGUUAACUUUACCAUGUCCCUAUUUUGUUAGCUUUGUCAUGUCCAUGUUUCAUGUCAAUAUAUUCCUUUAUACUUGAUUAUGAUUUGCUUAUAUUUUCCUUCUAAACUAUGAAAUUCUGACAAUGCUUCAUUUUCACUCGAAUAGUCGAAUAGGCUAUUGACAUCCAUUAUCUUCCGAAAGAAUAUAUGUAGUAUUGUCUGGGUAAUUAUUUCUAUAAAUAUUAAUUUAUAGGAUAAAUUAUAAAUUAAUAAAUUCAUUUUUCCAAUAUUAUUAAUUUAUAGAGUUUCUAUUGUAUGUAAUUGUUCAUAUAUUAUCUCACGAGAUAUUUAGAGUUGAAUUCCAGACUAGUUUGAGAUGAUCAGGAACUAAUCCACGAUAUCUUAUGAUGUUUAUGAAUCAAGAUAAAUGCAAUAAUGAAGACUCGAAUUUGAGUACUAAAAAGUUCAUCUACUCAGUUUUAUGGUUUAGUUUCCGAGCACAAUCAUACAACAUACAAUCAAAAACAAUAACUGAUGUUCAAAGUCUAAAGCAUGACUCUUCCGGGUUAUAUUACAUAAACCUCUUAUACACCAUCAGAUAAUAUAACCGGAAACUCAAUGAGAGAACAAGAAUUUGAGAAGGAGAUAUAUAUCAUAACAGCCAAGUAACUUCCCUCCUUAGUAUGGUUCCCCGCCGAGUGCCUUAUGUUUAUAAUGUUUUUAUUUUACUCUCCUCUUGUCCCAUCCGACAAGCCAUUAAUACCAUAUUUUCUUGAUAAUCAAGAUCAAACAAAAUCAAAACGAAAAAUUCUAUCAAAACACAUUCACACUCACAAUUGUAUGCAAUUCGUUGAUGAUCAAGAUCAUACAAGAACAUUUGUUCCUAAAGGCCACUUCUACAAGACAAAAUCAAGCAAAAUUUUUAUUAAUAUGAAUUGCUUUACUUUCAUCUAAUCAAAAUACAAAAAAAAAAAUGACAUUACCACCCACAGUUGUUAUACAACGACUCGUCAAACUUGGGAAACCAAGGCACCAUAUCGCAUUUACUUAUUGAAAAUAUAAGAAAAUAAACAGAGAUAAAUAUCAUCCUUCUUGGCAAUAGUAAUUAUAGGUAGCAUAAGAAUUAACUUACAUAAUCGUGAACAAUCUGAGAAAGAUAAUUCUUGGGUUUUAUGACCAUGGAUGCACCACCAGCGAAGCCCAAGUUAACUUCAGGAAACCUGUCCGCAACACUGCCAUAUGGAUCAUAUUUUUAGCAGUUAAAUAUUAUAGACUUGAGAAUUAAUAGACACACAAUAUGUAUUAUUAUGUAGACUCGCUUGUUGGGAACUUAUCCCAUAUGUGAUAUUAUAGCAGUAGAGAUUCUCAUAGGGAAUGGGAAACCCAUACAGGGAAACAUCAUUUGAAAUCUGCAGAUUGAAAUGCUUUAUGAAUCUUCUAUUUCUGUAAAGAUCUAUCUUAAAUUGUAUGAAUAGAGAAACUCAUAGGUUGGAUGAGUGUAUCAUAAGCUUCAGCUGGAAAGCAAACAAGUAUUGUCCAUGAAUCAAUUAUCGUCCCAUAACCACUAGUUACUUAGAAAGCCGAGGGAUCAAUCCGUAGGAUCUUAUGAUUAUACACUUUAUCUUAUUGAUGAUAUUUGAAUUUCAAAAAGUAGUCAACUUACUUUUCUGUAUUUAAUUUGGUAAUUUU
rnacentral:sRNA from 1 species